CAAGGUCACCCAGUUCCAGAGUGAGGGGACGUGCAGAGGGUGUGGACACUGGUGUAAAAUUACAACUGAGAAGGCCCCCACCCUAGGGGAAAGGUGCAUCUGGUGAGAACGGAAAUUCACUUUGCCCUGCAAACUACGCAGCCUGUC
rnacentral:lncRNA from 1 species